GACGUAGGGGGCCAGCGUUGUUCGGAAUUACUGGGCGUAAAGGGUGCGUAGGUGGUUCGAUAAGUCAGUUGUGAAAUCCCUGGGCUUAACCUGGGAAUUGCAUUUGAUACUGUCGAACUAGAGUGUGGUAGAGGUAAGCGGAAUUCCCGGUGUAGCGGUGAAAUGCGUAGAUAUCGGGAGGAACAUCAGUGGCGAAGGCGGCUUACUGGACCAACACUGACACUGAGGCACGAAAGCGUGGGUAGCAAACAGG
rnacentral:rRNA from 1 species